UCCAACUCCCCGAGAAUCCUUUAGGAGAAAUAGCAGCACGCCAUGGUUUGUAGAGAUAAGGUGAUGCAAACCAUCGUGGGCUGUUACAUUUUCCUAAAGGGCAUGUCAAUCAAGCCGG
rnacentral:precursor_RNA from 12 species